rnacentral:rRNA from 1 species
GACGGAGGAUGCAAGCGUUAUCCGGAAUGAUUGGGCGUAAAGCGUCCGCAGGUGGCAGUUCAAGUCUGCUGUCAAAGACCGGGGCUUAACUUUGGAAAGGCAGUGGAAACUGAACAGCUAGAGUAUGGUAGGGGCAGAGAGAAUUCCUGGUGUAGCGGUGAAAUGCGUAGAGAUCAGGAAGAACAUCGGUGGCGAAGGCGCUCUGCUGGACCAUAACUGACACUCAGGGACGAAAGCUAGGGGAGCGAAUGGG